rnacentral:rRNA from 1 species
UACGAAGGGGGCUAGCGUUGCUCGGAAUCACUGGGCGUAAAGCGCACGUAGGCGGAUCUUUAAGUCAGGGGUGAAAUCCUGGAGCUCAACUCCAGAACUGCCUUUGAUACUGAAGAUCUCGAGUUCGGGAGAGGCGAGUGGAACUGCGAGUGUAGAGGUGAAAUUCGUAGAUAUUCGCAAGAACACCAGUGGCGAAGGCGGCUCACUGGCCCGAUACUGACGCUGAGGCACGAAAGCGUGGGGAGCAAACAGG